rnacentral:rRNA from 1 species
UAAGGAAUAUUGGUCAAUGCCCGGAAGGGUGAACCAGCCAUCCCGCGUGAAGGAUGAAGGGGCUCUGCCUUGUAAACUUCUUUUGAAUGGGACGAAAAAGCCUCACUUGUGAGGAACUGACGGUACCAUUAGAAUAAGCACCGGCUAACUCCGUGCCAGCAGCCGCGGUAAUACGGAGGGUGCGAGCGUUAUCCGGAAUCACUGGGUUUAAAGGGUGCGUAGGCGGCUGUAUAAGUCAGUGGUGAAAGGCUGUGGCUUAACCAUGGGAUUGCCAUUGAUACUGUACGGCUUGAAUUAGGAUGAGGUUGGCGGAAUGUGACAUGUAGCGGUGAAAUGCUUAGAUAUGUCAUGGAACAUCGAUUGCGAAGGCAGCUGACUGGACCUUAAUUGACGCUGAGGCACGAAAGCGUGGGGAGCGAACAGGAUUAGAUACCCAUGUAGUCCCUGAGCGGGCUGGCAAGGCGCAU